rnacentral:rRNA from 1 species
CGUAGGUGGCAAGCGUUGUCCGGAAUUAUUGGGCGUAAAGCGCGCGCAGGCGGUCCUUUAAGUCUGAUGUGAAAGCCCACGGCUCAACCGUGGAGGGUCAUUGGAAACUGGGGGACUUGAGUACAGAAGAGAAGAGUGGAAUUCCACGUGUAGCGGUGAAAUGCGUAGAGAUGUGGAGGAACACCAGUGGCGAAGGCGACUCUUUGGUCUGUAACUGACGCUGAGGCGCGAAAGCGUGGGGAGCAAACAGGAUUAGAUACCCUGGUAGUCCACGCUGUAAACGAUGAGUGCUAAGUGUUAGAGGGUUUCCGCCCUUUAGUGCUGCAGCUAACGCAUUAAGCACUCCGCCUGGGGAGCACGGCCGCAAGGCUG